UUGUGCUUUGCUGCCCCACUUGUGCCACUGAUGCUGGGUCUGCCUGUUCCAGGUCAUGGCAAACACUUGGACAUCUCUUCCUGCAGCGGCUGGAGAACUGUCCUGGCCCCUAGGGACCAGAGGGGACCAUGCAGCUUGAUCCCCCUUCUCCUGGCACUCCAGUUCCUGAUGAAAUGUCCCUGUCCAGCUUCCCUGUAGCUCCUGCAGACUCUGGAAGGGGCUCUGAGGUGUCCACACACCCUUCCCUUCUCCAGGCUGAGCAGCCCCAGCUCUCCCAGCCUGGCUCCAGAGGGGAGGUGCUCCAGGUCCCUAUGACAGCCAUAUAUAGAGACUUCCAGAGGGCCCUGCCUCUCCAAGCAGCUCCUAAGGAUGGUCCAUUUCUGGAACUCUUCAUCUGUGUGAGGCUGUACCACAGCUGCUGUUCCCAGCGUGAGGGGCUUGGUCCCAGGACCCCAGGAAUGGCUGGAGCUGUGCCAGGGGAGGAUCAGAAUGAGGAUCACAGGAUGGAGACUGGCAAAGUCCGGAGCCUCUGUAGCGGGACGGGAAGGCAGAGUCUUACAGGAGGAAUGCCAAAGGGUGUGCGAGCAUAUAGACAAAUGGCUGGUGGAUUAAUUUCUUGGA